rnacentral:rRNA from 1 species
CAAUAGCGUAUAUUAAAGUUGUUGCGGUUAAAAAGCUCGUAGUUGGAGUUCUGCCAGGUGCCGCCUGUCCGCCCCAGUGGUGAGUACGUGGCGCGCAUUUGGCCCUUUCAAGGGGAGCGUAUCUGCACUUUAUUGUGUGGUGCGGGAUCCUUGACUUUUACUUUGAGGAAAUAGGAGUGUUCCAAGCAGGCUCUCGUCGUGCACAGCUCAGCAUGGAAUAAUAGCAUUGGACCUCGAUUCUAAGCUGUUGGUUGCCAGAAGCGAGGUAAUGAUGAAGAGGGAUAGUUGGGGGCAUUCGUAUUUAACUGUCAGAGGUGAAAUUCUUGGAUUUGUUAAAGACGGACUACAGCGAAAGCAUCUGCCAUGGAUGUUUUCAUUGA